rnacentral:lncRNA from 1 species
AUGUAUUGACACAUAUUCUCAUCGGAGGUUAUGUUGCCUAAGAGGACCUUUCAUUUUGUGGGGAGGCAGGUGAUUAGUCAGUAGUUAGAAGGUGUUGUUCCCUUAAGAGGCUCCUUCAUGAUCAGUUCUGUUCUGCUUUGUGGUAGCCAGUCGGAGUGGGAGCCUGCUGUAAGUAGCUGGUUCGUUUGUGCUACUAGGCGCUCAUACAGCAUUGCUCAUUUCUUUAUCCCGUAGGUUUGGGUCAUAUCAGUUCCUGGUACUGACAAACUCUUCAAGUGGGUUACUUAUUGGGCAACUCCUACUGUGAUGGUGACUGGUUCAUGUUCUUCUUUUUGCAGUGGUUUGCUUUCAG